rnacentral:rRNA from 1 species
CCUACGGGUGGCAGCAGUGAGGAAUAUUGGUCAAUGGACGAGAGUCUGAACCAGCCACGUAGCGUGAAGGAUGACUGCCCUAUGGGUUGUAAACUUCUUUUAUAUGGGAAUAAAAUGUUCCACGUGUGGGAUUUUGUAUGUACCAUAUGAAUAAGGAUCGGCUAACUCCGUGCCAGCAGCCGCGGUAAUACGGAGGAUCCGAGCGUUAUCCGGAUUUAUUGGGUUUAAGGGGAGCGUAGGUGGAUUGUUAAGUCAGUUGUGAAAGUUUGCGGCUCAACCGUAAAAUUGCAGUUGAAACUGGCAGUCUUGAGUACAGUAGAGGUGGGCGGAAUUCGUGGUGUAGCGGUGAAAUGCUUAGAUAUCACGAAGAACUCCGAGUGCGAAGGCAGUUCACUGGACUGCAACUGACACUGAGGCUCGAAAGUGUGGGUAUCAAACAGGAUUAGAUACCCGAGUAGUC